rnacentral:rRNA from 1 species
UACGUAGGUGACAAGCGUUGUCCGGAUUUACUGGGCGUAAAGAGCGCGCAGGCGGUCGAUCAAGUCGAGUGUGAAAGCCCCCGGCUCAACUGGGGAGGGUCAUUCGAUACUGAUCGACUCGAAGGCAGGAGAGGGUAGUGGAAUUCCCGGUGUAGUGGUGAAAUGCAUAGAUAUCGGGAGGAACACCAGUGGCGAAGGCGACUACCUGGCCUGUUCUUGACGCUGAGGCGCGAAAGCUAGGGGAGCAAACGGG